rnacentral:rRNA from 1 species
AUUGAACGCUGGCGGCAUGCUUUACACAUGCAAGUCGAACGGUAACAGGCCUUCGGGUGCUGACGAGUGGCGCACGGGUGCGUAAUGCAUCGGAACGUACCCAGAGGUGGGGGAUAACGCAGCGAAAGCUGUGCUAAUACCGCAUGUGAUCUGAGGAUGAAAGCGGGGGACCGAGCAGCAAUGUUUGGCCUCGCGCCUUUGGAGCGGCCGAUGUCGGAUUAGCUAGUUGGUGGGGUAAAGGCCUACCAAGGCGACGAUCCGUAGCUGGUCUGAGAGGACGAACAGCCACACUGGGACUGAGACACGGCCCAGACUCCUAAGGGAGGCAGCAGUGGGGAAUUUUGGACAAAGGGCGCAAGCCUGAUCCAGCAAUGCCGCGUGCGGGAAGAAGGCCUUCGGGUUGUAAACCGCUUUUGGCAGGAACGAAACGGUGUCCGCUAAUACCGGGCGCUAAUGACGGUACCUGCAGAAUAAGCACCGGCUAACUACGUG